GAUGAACGCUGGCGGCGUGCCUAACACAUGCAAGUCGAGCGAUUCUCUUCGGAGAAGAGCGGCGGACGGGUGAGUAACGCGUGGGUAACCUGCCUCAUACACAUGGAUAACAUACCGAAAGGUAUGCUAAUACAAGAUAAUAUAAGAGAUUCGCAUGGGUCUCUUAUCAAAGCUCCGGCGGUAUGAGAUGGACCCGCGUCUGAUUAGCUAGUUGGUAAGGUAACGGCUUACCAAGGCGACGAUCAGUAGCCGACCUGAGAGGGUGAUCGGCCACAUUGGAACUGAGACACGGUCCAAACUCCUACGGGAGGCAGCAGUGGGGAAUAUUGCACAGUGGGCGAAAGCCUGAUGCAGCAACGCCGCGUGAGCGAUGAAGGCCUUCGGGUCGUAAAGCUCUGUCCUCAAGGAAGAUAAUGACGGUACUCGAGAAGGAAGCCCCGGCUAACUACGUGCCAGCAGCCGCCGUAAGAC
rnacentral:rRNA from 1 species